AUAGAACCAGAAUAACUCCAAGGACGUUCCAAGGACAAUGGUUCAAGGGACCACUGCUCUCUCUAAUCCCUUGAAAACUGACUAUCUUGGAUUUUACCUCUGAACCUGCCCACUAGCCACAUGGGAAUGAGCCCGUUUUCAAGGUCCUCCAUGGAGCAACCGGCCAUCUCACCAUCCCAGGAGCCAAGAGGCAGCCCCAGCUGUGCGGGGUGAGGUGGGAGAUGCUCACUGAAGUAGGAAUGGGGCCUGCGUUCUCUCAGACGACUAUGAAGACAAGGGAGAACUGAGGAUCGCUCCAUCUGUUACACUGAGAACGGACUGCAGCGAGCCAGGGUGGAAGCAGGAGGCUGUCUGGAGUCUUCUGUAGUAACCCGGUGGAGAGAGCGUGCGACCGGGAGUCGGAACUAAAAAAGCAGUGCCUUUCAAAUCAAAACCACGAUGAGUUACCACCUCAUACCUGUUAGAACGGCGACUGUUAACAACCAAAACCACACCCAGAAAACACCAAGUGUUGGCAAGGACGCAGAGAAGUUGGCGCCCCGGUGUCCCGCUGGUAGGAAUGCGACAGUGUGGCAGUUUCUCAAAGUAUUAAAAAUAGAAUUACCGGA